GAUGAACGCUGGCGGCGUGCCUAAUACAUGCAAGUCGAGCGAACGGACGAGAAGCUUGCUUCUCUGAUGUUAGCGGCGGACGGGUGAGUAACACGUGGAUAACCUACCUAUAAGACUGGGAUAACUUCGGGAAACCGGAGCUAAUACCGGAUAAUAUUUUGAACCGCAUGGUUCAAAAGUGAAAGACGGUCUUGCUGUCACUUAUAGAUGGAUCCCCGCUGCAUUAGCUAGUUGGUAAGGUAACGGCUUACCAAGGCAACGAUGCAUAGCCGACCUGAGAGGGUGAUCGGCCACACUGGAACUGAACCACGGUCCAGACUCCUACGGGAGGCAGCAGUAGGGAAUCUUCCGCAAUGGGCGAAAGCCUGACGGAGCAACGCCGCGUGAGUGAUGAAGGUCUUCGGAUCGUAAAACUCUGUUAUUAGGGAAGAACAUAUGUGUAAGUAACUGUGCACAGCUUGACGGUACCUAAUCAGAAAGCCACGGCUAACUACGUG
rnacentral:rRNA from 1 species